rnacentral:misc_RNA from 1 species
AAUUGGAGAAUAGAAUUUGCCGAACUUGUCUCUUAUUGUGCCAAUAAAUGUCUGACUGCAAGUGCAAUUUUUUGUAGUACUUUUGCAAAACAUCUAGAUGUCUUAGCUGGUGAUUUCGGUCCGGACAUGACACCAAUGGAUAUGAUUCUCAGGCUUUAUGUUGUUGGAUUGACCAUUACUGACUGUGUUGUUAAGUGCCGAUUUGGCAAUUCUACAUCCUCCAAAAGUG